GAUGAACGCUAGCGAUAGGCCUAACACAUGCAAGUCAAGGGGCAGCAUAGAGUAGCAAUACUUUGAUGGCGACCGGCGCACGGGUGAGUAACACGUAUGCAACCUACCUACAUCAGGGGAAUAACCCGGAGAAAUUCGGACUAAUACCGCAUAAUACAGGGAUGCCGCAUGGCAAUAUUUGUUAAAGAUUUAUCGGAUGUAGAUGGGCAUGCGUUCCAUUAGCUAUUUGGUGAGGUAACGGCUCACCAAGGCAACGAUGGAUAGGGGAACUGAGAGGUUUGUCCCCCACACUGGAACUGAGACACGGACCAGACUCCUACGGGAGGCAGCAGUGAGGAAUAUUGGUCAAUGGACGAGAGUCUGAACCAGCCAAAUCGCGUGAAGGAAGACUGCCCUACGGGUUGUAAACUUCUUUUGUACAGGAAUAAAAGACAUUACGUGUAAUGUAUUGCAUGUACUGUACGAAUAAGCAUCGGCUAACUCCGUGCCAGCCGCCGCGGUAA
rnacentral:rRNA from 1 species